CACGUAGUUAGCCGCAGCUUCUUCUUCAGGUACCGUCAUUAUCGUCCCUGCCGAAAGAACUUUACACCCCGAAGGGCUUCAUCGUUCACGCGGCGUCGCUGCAUCAGAGUUUCCUCCAUUGUGCAAGAUUCCCCACUGCUGCCUCCCGUAGGAGUCUGGCCCGUGUUUCAGUGCCAGUGUGGCCGUGUGCCCUCUCAGGCCGGCUACCGAUCACCGCCUUGGUGAGCCAUUACCUCACCAACUAGCUAAUCGGCCGCGGACUCCUCUCUCAGCGCAUUGCUGCUUUCCCUUCUCAGGCUUAUGCGGUAUUAGCCCCGGUUUCCCAGGGUUAUUCCCCACUAAGAGGUAGAUCAUCCACGUGUUACUCACCCGUACGCCGCUUUACUCAGGGAUUGCUCCCCUUUCUCGCUCGACUUGCAUGUGUUAAGCGCGCCGCCAGCGUUGAUUCUGAGCCAGGAUCAAACUCU
rnacentral:rRNA from 1 species